rnacentral:tRNA from 1 species
GGAGGGUUCCUUUAUUGGCAAAAAGGGUUGAGCUGUAAACUCAAUAGCGAAAACACGCUUUAAGAGUUCGAAUCUCUUGUCUCCUA